rnacentral:miRNA from 5 species
CCUGCAUUGUACACACUGUGCG